AUUGAACGCUGGCGGCAGGCCUAACACAUGCCAGUCGAGCGGAUGAAGGGAGCUUGCUCCUGGAUUCCGCGGCGGACGGGUGAGUAAUGCCUAGGAAUCUGCCUGGUAGUGGGGGAUAACGUCCGGAAACGGGCGCUAAUACCGCAUACGUCCUGAGGGAGAAAGUGGGGGAUCUUCGGACCUCACGCUAUCAGAUGAGCCUAGGUCGGAUUAGCUAGUUGGUGGGGUAAAGGCCUACCAAGGCGAGGAUCCGUAACUGGUCUGAGAGGAUGAUCAGUCACACUGGAACUGGGACACGGUCCAGACUCCUACGGGAGGCAGCAGUGGGGAAUAUUGGACAAUGGUCGAAAGCCUGAUCCAGCCAUGCCGCGUGUGUGAAGAAGGUCUUCGGAUUGUAAAGCACUUUAAGUUGGGAGGAAGGGCAGUAAGUUAAUACCUUGCUGUUUUGACGUUACCAACAGAAUAAGCACCGGCUAACUUCGUG
rnacentral:rRNA from 1 species